rnacentral:misc_RNA from 1 species
GAUGAAGAACGCAGCGAAAUGCGAUACGUAAUGUGAAUUGCAGAAUUCAGUGAAUCAUCGAAUCUUUGAACGCAUAUUACGCUCUCUGGUAUUCCGGAGAGCAUGCUUGUUUGAGUAUCAGUAAACACCUCAACUCCCUUUCUUCUUGAAAUGGAGCUGGACUUGAGUGAUCCCAACGCUUUAUUCAUAAAGUGGCGGGUUACUUGAAAUGCAGGUGCAGCUGGACUUUUCUUUGAGCUAUAAGCAUAUCUAUUUAGUCUGCCUCAAAACAGAUUAUUACCUUUGCUGCAGCUAACAUAAAGGAGAUUAGUUCUUGUGCUGACUGAUGCAGGAUUCACAAAGACCGCUUCGGCUGUCUUUGUAAACUCGAUCUCAAAUCAAGUAAGACUACCCGCUGAACUUAAGCAUAUCAAUAAGCGGAGGA